rfam:Triticum urartu cultivar G1812 contig402921, whole genome shotgun sequence.
UUAAUACUCUGUCCGUCCGAAAAUACUUGUCAAAGAAAUAGAUAAAAAUGAAUGUAUCUAAAAUUAAAAUAUGUCUAGAUAUAUUCAUUUCUCCGACAAGUAUUUCUGGACGGAUGGAGUAUUAA